UUAUGGCCAUAUCACGUUGAAAAAGCUGGUUCCAGUACGAUCACCGAAGUUAAGCAACGUCGAAUCGAACCUGGUCAUUACUUAGAUGGGUGACCACUUCGGAAUACCGGGUGUU